GCGAGAGUGGCGAAACUGGCAGACGCGCUGGACUUAGGAUCCAGUCCCGUAAGGGGUGUGGGUUCAACUCCCUCCUCUCGCACCA
rnacentral:tRNA from 1 species